rnacentral:lncRNA from 1 species
UUCUCUCUUAGUUUUCUCUCUUCUCCCAUUUGAGAAUUCUUAAGGAAUUCUAUUUGUUUGUAAUAUUUUGGAGAUAGUAAAGUUAUCAUCUGGUGUUAGUACCCGAGGACGUAGGUAUAAUUUACCGAACCUCGUUAAAACUCUUAUGUUCUUUUUGUCCUAUUUUUCUUUCAAUAUUUGAGGGUAUAAUAGUAGUAUUUAAUUGUGCUAUCAAAUUACUAUAGAAGGGAUAUUCUGACUAAGGAAAGACUUGGUAUUUAAGAGAUCCAUGUGAUCCACCUCUCUUCCCUGGGAAUUGAACUUUGUGUGAUUUUUUAGUACAAUAAUUUACACGCUUCCGACCCUAUUGGAACAACAAGUGGUAUCAAGAGCCGAAGGUUAAUCGUAGUAUGCUCUGUGGUUGCAGUUUGAACUGAUCUUCCACAUCAGAAAAGAUUUCCUUAGGUAUAUUGAAAGAUUAUGGAGAAAACGGUCGGUGUAGGAGCUUCAACAUCGUCCAUGUGGACAAGACCGACAAUUGCAAAUGCAAGACUGGCCGUGGAGAUCUUUGAUGGCACGGGCCAUUUUGGUAUGUGGCAAAGUGAGGUUCUAAAUGCCCUUUUUCAGCAGGGUUUAGACAUUGCCAUUGAUGAAGAGAAACCAGAUGAUGUACAGGAGAAAGAUUGGAAGGCGAUCAAUCGGUUGGCAUGUGGCACAAUUCGAUCAUGCCUUUCUCGAGAGCAGAGGUAUGCUUUUUCAAAGGAGACUUCUGCAAAUAAGUUGUGGGUGGCACUUGAAGAAAAUUUUUUGAAGAAAAACAGUCAAAAUAAGCUCCACUUGAAGAAAAGACUAUUUCGCUUCACAUACGUCCCAAGUACCACAAUGAAUGAUCACAUCACCAAAUUUAAUCAGUUAGUCACUGAUUUGCUGAAUAUGGAUGAGACAUUCAAAGAUGAAGAUUUGGCUUUGAUGCUGUUGGGGUCACUUCCUGAGGAGUUUGAGUUCCUAGAAACUACUCUACUUCAUGGCAGGAGUGAUAUAUCUCUGAGCAAAGUCUGUGCGGCCUUAUACAGUUAUGAACAGAGAAAGAAGGACAAACAGAAAAACUCAAUCAGAGAUACAGAAGCUUUAGUAGUCCGAGGUCGUUCAUACACUCGGAAGAAAACUCAAAAGAGGAGAUCAAAGUCAAAGUCCAGACUCGGGAAAGAUGAAUGUGCUUUUUGUCAUGAGAAAGGCCACUGGAAGAAAAAUUGUCCAAAGCUGAAGAAUAAGGGAAAAGCUGUUGUAGAUGCUUGUGUUGCAAAGCAUGAUACCAGUGACUCUGAACUAUCACUGGUUGCAUCAUCAUCGUCGUUCCAUUCAGAUGAGUGGAUAUUAGAUUCAGGUUGUACCUAUCAUAUGUCCCCUAACCGGGAGUGGUUCUCUGAUUUAGUAGAACUAAAUGGAGGAGUUGUUUAUAUGGGCAAUGACAAUGCCUGUAAAACUGUUGGGAUAGGUUCAAUCCAAUUAAAGAAUAAAGAUGGAUCAACCAGAGUUCUGACUGAUGUUCGGUACGUGCCCAGUUUGAAGAAAAAUCUCAUCUCAUUGGAAGCCCUAGAAUUCAAUGGUUCAGUUGUUACUAUGAGAGAUGGGGUUUUGAAAGUGACAUCUGGCGCACUUGUGAUAUUGAAGGGCAUCAGGAAAAAUAACUUGUAUUACUACCAAGGUAGUACAGUUAUUGGAGCAGUCGCUACAGCUUCCGGCAACAAAGAAUUGGACUCAAUACAGUUGUGGCAUAUGAAGUUGGGACAUGCCAGCGAAAAAUCCUUGCAAAUUCUGGCAAAGCAAGGAUUGUUGAAAGGUGCAAAGGCUUGCAAAUUAAAAUUUUGCGAGCAUUGUGUUCUGGGAAAGCAAAAGAGAGUGAAAUUCGGUACUACUAUCCAUAAUACAAAAGGUAUUUUGGAAUAUGUUCACUCAGAUGUGUGGGGGCCUUCCAAGACACUUUCAUUGGGAGGAAAACACUACUUUGUUACUUUUGUUGAUGACUUUUCCAGAAGAGUUUGGGUGUAUACCAUGAGAACUAAGGAUGAAGUGCUUAGAGUUUUUCUUAAAUGGAAAACUAUGAUCGAAAACCAGACUGGCAAGAAAAUCAAGCGGCUUAGGACGGACAAUGGAGGGGAAUAUAAAAGUGAUCCGUUCUUCGAUGUGUGCCAAGAGUAUGGUAUUGUUCGACACUUCAUAGUUAGGGAUACACCACAGCAGAAUGGAUUGGCAGAGCGUAUGAAUCGAACAUUGCUGGAGAAAGUUCAAUGUAUGUUGUCCAAUGCUGGGUUGGGCAAGCAAUUUUGGGCUGAGGCUGUGACAUACGCUGGCCAUCUUGUUAAUCGUUUGCCAUCAUCUGCAUUAGAAAGAAAAACUCCUAUGGAGGUAUGGUCUGGAAAACCGGCUACAGAUUAUGAUUCCUUACAUGUGUUUGGAUCCACUGCAUAUUACCAUGUGAAGGAGUCAAAGUUAGAUUCGAGGGUAAAGAAAGCUCUCUUUAUGGGAAUCACUUCUGGAGUGAAGGAUUUCGUCUUUGGUGAUUAAGCACAAAGAAAAUGAUCUGUAGCAGAGAUGUUACCUUUGAUGAAUCUGCCAUAUUGAAAAAGGUAGCAGAUAAAGAUAUUCAGACGAGCAAUACUCCACAGCAGGUGGAGUGUACUCCAAAACAGGUGGAGUUUGAGCAGAUGGGGAUUUGCCCAGUUAAUAAGUCUAAUUCUCCAGCCACAAUGGAGGAAUUAGAGGUUGAAGAGGUUCUGACCCAAGAACCACUAAGUACACCAGAACCAGUUGCAGUUGCAAGGCCACGGAGAGAAAUUCGUAAACCUGCUCGAUUUACUGAUAUGGUGGCCUACGCCCUUCCCGUUGUUGAUGAUAUUCCUAUCACUUAUCAAGAAGCAAUGCAAAGCUUAGAAAGUGAUAAAUGGAAAAGCGCCAUGGAUGAAGAAAUGCAGUCUCUCCGGAAGAACAAUACUUGGGAGUUGGCGCAAUUACCGAAAGGUAAAAGGGCAAUCGGAUGCAAGUGGGUAUUCGCAAAGAAAGAUGGAUCUCCUAGCAAGAAGGAUAUUCGCUACAAGGCAAGAUUGGUAGCUAAAGGCUACGCUCAGAAGGAGGAAAUUGACUACAAUGAUGUAUUUUCCCCUGUUGUGAAGCAUUCCUCCAUUAGAAUUUUGUUGGCCUUGGUAGCACAGUUGAAUUUGGAGCUAGCUCAACUUGAUGUUAAGACGGCUUUCUUGCAUGGUGAGUUAGAAGAGGAGAUCUAGAUGACUCAGCCCGAAGGAUACACAGAUGCUGGUGGUAGAAAUUGGGUUUGUAAGCUGAACAAAUCGCUAUAUGGAUUGAAGCAAUCCCCGAGGCAGUGGUACAAGCGAUUUGAUAGCUUUAUGAGAAGGCAGAAGUACACAAGAAGCAAAUAUGACAAUUGUGUGUAUUUGCAGAAGCUGCAUGGCGGAUCUUUCAUUUAUCUACUCUUGUAUGUUGAUGAUAUGUUAAUCGCUUCGAAGAGCCAAAAAGAGAUAGAUAAGCUGAAGGCUCAGUUGAAUCAAGAGUUCGAGAUGAAAGAUCUAGGUGAGGCCAAGAAGAUUCUCGGCAUGGAGAUAAGUAGAGAUAGACAGAGAGGCAAGCUUUUUUUGAAUCAGAAGCAAUAUCUGAAAAAGGUAUUACAAUGUUUUGGUGUAAAUGAAAACACAAAACAUGUAAGUACCCCACUUGCUUCUCAUUUGAAACUUAGUGCUCAAUUAUCUCCGAAAACUGAAGAAGAAAGAGAAUAUAUGGCGAAAGUCCCAUAUGCUAAUGCAGUUGGGAGUUUGAUGUAUGCGAUGGUAUGUACGAGGCCUGACAUUUCACAAGCUAUUGGAGUUGUGAGCAGGUAUAUGCAUGAUCCUGGAAAAGGACAUUGGCAAGCUGUGAAAUGGAUUCUACGGUAUCUUCGAAAAACCGUAGAUGUUGGUUUAAUUUUUGAACAGGAUGAAGCACUUGGUCAGUUUGUAGUUGGAUAUGUUGAUUCCGACUUUGCUGGUGAUUUAGAUAAACGUCGUUCAACUACGGGGUAUUUGUUUACUCUUGCGAAAGCCCCAGUGAGUUGGAAGUCUACCUUACAGUCUACAGUAGCUGUGUCUACUAUAGAGGCAGAAUAUAUGGCAGUUACAGAAGCUGUUAAGGAGGCUAUUUGGCUUAAUGGAUUGUUGAAAGACUUAGGAGUUGUUCAAAGUCACAUAAGUUUAUAUUGUGACAGUCAGAGCGCUAUUCAUUUAGCGAAAAAUCAAGUCUAUCAUUCAAGAACCAAGCAUAUCGACGUAAGAUAUCACUUUGUGUGGGAAGUCUUUGAAAAAGGAAAAAUUCUACUUCAGAAGAUUCCGACAGCAGAUAAUCCCGCAGAUAUGAUGACCAAGGUGGUAACAACAAUCAAGUUUAAUCAUUGUUUGAACUUGAUUAACAUCCUGAGAAUUUGAGCACCUUCAGGUGUAUGGCGCUCGAGAGCGCAUUUGUAGGCACUACAAAAGAUAGCUUUAUCGAAUUUGGGGAGUUGAAGGAAGUGUGUGAAGAUGUGAUUAUUCUAAUCAAAUCUUCAAGGUGGAGAUUGUUAACAUUAAUGGAAGAUAAUUAAUAAUGGUUGCCAUUAACAUUAAUGGGAGACAAUCAAUAAUGACAACCACCAACUUUGGGAAAGUGGCAAGGGAUAAUUUUUUUUUGGUCCUUGAGAUAAUGGGCUAUUUAUUGUUUGGUCCUUGAACCUCAACUAUAAAUAGGCCUUCUCAUUUCUCAUUUCAAUUCAUCCCAACCAAUCUUUCUCUCUUAGUUUUCUCUCUUCUCCCAUUUGAGAAUUCUUAAGGAAUUCUAUUUGUUUGUAAUAUUUUGGAGAUAGUAAAGUUAUCAUCUGGUGUUAGUGCCCGAAGACGUAGGUAUAAUUUACCGAACCUCGUUAAAACUCUUAUGUUCUUUUUGUCCUAUUUUUCUUUCAAUAUUUGAGGGUAUAAUAGUAGUAUUUAAUUGUGCUAUUAAAUUAC